rnacentral:rRNA from 1 species
UACCUGCAGCUCUAGUGGUGACCGCUAUUAUUGGGCCUAAAACGUCCGUAGCCGGUUUAGUAAAUGCCUGGGUAAAUCGUGUAGCUUAACUAUACGAAUUCUGGGUAGACUGCUAAACUUGAGACCGGGAGAGGCUAGAGGUACUCUUGGGGUAGAGGUGAAAUUCUGUAAUCCUGGGGGGACCACCAGUGGCGAAGGCGUCUAGCUAGAACGGGUCUGACGGUGAGGGACGAGGCCCUGGGGCACAAACCGGAUUAGAUACCCGGGUAGUCCAGGGUGUAAACGCUGCUUGCUUGAUGUUAGUUGAGCUCCGAGCCCAACUAGUGUCGGAGAGAAGUUGUUAAGCAAGCUGCCUGGGAAGUAGGGUCGCAAGGCUGAAACUUAAAGGAAUUGGCGGGGGAGCACAGCAACGGGUGGAGCGUGCGGUUU